AGCAUUGUCCAGAAUUACUGACAAUACCUUGGCAAGACAAAGCGGGAAAACCUGGCAAUGACCUUCCUUGAACGUCGCUUUUGUCAAGGUCAUCACCUGAUGGCAGCGGCUACAGGGAGGAAAAAAGGCUGGAUCUAGCUGCAGGCAGAACAGGCAGUUUCCCAGUUGUCCCCAAAAUACCUGGGCUAUGGAGGACGUGAAAUGAUCGUCACCUAUGAAAAGGUGGUGUAAUGAUAAUCAACGCCUCGGAGUGAAGGUCACGGGCAAGUGGUUUUUGGAGAGAUGGAUGGCGACGUGCCACUUAUGACAUCCGCCGAAACAAUGCUGGUGUCAGAGGCGUAACAAAGGUGCCCAACUGGGAGAGAGGGACCAAGGAAAUGGGAGCACUGGGAAAGGUCAUCAGGAAUGAUAAAGAGUAGCUAUACAAAAGUUAAAUAAACAUUUAGAAGACACACGACAGCAGCAACAGGAGUAAUAAUAGAAAUUAUAUAUUUGUAAGAAGUUGUUGUAUGACUCUUGCUCUUCUAUCACUUACGUUGUUACUGAGUGUUCAUCGGGAGUGCAGCCUAGCUGCACUUGUGCCUAGCUGCACUUGUGCCUAGCUGACUGCUUGAUAGCUGUAUUUGUCGAACUUGUACAUUGCUUUGGAGAAAAACAUCUGCUAAAUAAAAAAUGUAAAGUAUA